UAAUAAGUGUUUUAUGGCACUUUUUAAAUCCAUAUCCACCUUGUGUGCAAUGUCAGUCGAUCUUCUUCAUGGAGAUCGACCAAACAUCAACCUUUAUUUUUUAACUCUCUGUCUGAAAAAUAUUAUGAAUAAACAAUUCAAAAUA
rnacentral:misc_RNA from 1 species